rnacentral:rRNA from 1 species
GAUGAACGCUGGCGGCGUGCCUAAUACAUGCAAGUCGAGCGAACGGACGUGAAUCUUGCUUUUCUGAUGUUAGCGGCGGACGGGUGAGUCACACGUGGAUAACCUACGUAUAUGAGUUGGAUUACUUCGGGAAACCGGAGCUAAUACCGGAUGAUACUUUGACCUGCAUGGGUCUAAAGUGAAAGACGGGCUUGCUGUCACUUCUCGAUGGAUCCGCGCUGCGUUAGUUAGUUGGUUUGGUAACGGCUUACCAAGUCAACGAUGCAUAGCCGACCUGAGAGGGGGAACGGCCACACGGGAGCUGAGACGCGGUCCUGAGUCCGACGGAAGGCAGCAGUAGGGAAUGUACCGAGAAGGGCGAAAGCCUGACGGAGCAACGGCGGGUGGAUGAUGAAGGUCUGCGGAUCGGAAGACUCUGUUAUUGUGGAAGAACAUAUUUGCAAGUAACUGUGCUCAGCGUGACGGUACCGAAUCAGAAAGCCACGGCUAACUACGUG